rnacentral:tRNA from 1 species
AGGCCUGUGGUGAAAUGGUAUCACAAAGGUCUCCAAAACCUUUUUUCCAUGUUCGACUCAUGGCAGGCCUG